rnacentral:rRNA from 1 species
UGAGGAAUAUUGGGCAAUGCCCGCAAGGGUGACCCAGCAACGCCGCGUGGAGGAUGAAUGUCGUAAGAUUGUAAACUCCUGUUAGAGGGGAAGAAUAGUACCGGUUGGACCGGUAUAUGACUGUACCCUCAGAGAAAGCCCCGGCUAACUACGUGCCAGCAGCCGCGGUAAUACGUAGGGGGCAAGCGUUGUCCGGAUUUACUGGGUGUAAAGGGCGCGCAGGCGGGAUAAAAAGUCAGUGGUGAAAUCCUACAGCUUAACUGUAGAACUGCCUUUGAUACUUUUAUUCUUGAGUUCGGGAGAGAGAGACGGAAUUCCAGGUGUAGUGGUGAAAUACGUAGAUAUCUGGAAGAACACCAGUUGCGAAGGCGGUCUCUUGGUCCGACACUGACGCUGAGGCGCGAAAGCGUGGGGAG